CAUAUUGCUAUGAACAGAACUAGUAAAAAUCAGAUAAACUUUCAGAGAAUCGGGAUUGCUGUGAACCGAUAGUUUCUAAGAUUUUGAACUCAUCUGUGAGCAGUCACCUGAUAUUAGGGUAGAACGGAAUUCCACCGUUAUAUGGAUAGAUAGUAUGAACCUUUUAUGGAGUGCUAUUGAAAAAGUGAACUUUUAUUUAAGUUAAGUAGAGUGGUACCGCGAGUAAUCCUCGUCUCUUUC
rnacentral:ncRNA from 1 species